rnacentral:rRNA from 1 species
GACGAACGCUAGCGGCGUGCUUAACACAUGCAAGUCGAACGGAAAGGCCCUGCUUUUGUGGGGUGCUCGAGUGGCGAACGGGUGAGUAACACGUGAGUAACCUGCCCUUGACUUUGGGAUAACUUCAGGAAACUGGGGCUAAUACCGGAUAGGAGCUCCUGCUGCAUGGUGGGGGUUGGAAAGUUUCGGCGGUUGGGGAUGGACUCGCGGCUUAUCAGCUUGUUGGUGGGGUAGUGGCUUACCAAGGCUUUGACGGGUAGCCGGCCUGAGAGGGUGACCGGCCACAUUGGGACUGGGAUACGGCCCAGACUCCUACGGGAGGCAGCAGUGGGGAAUAUUGCACAAUGGGCGGAAGCCUGAUGCAGCAACGCCGCGUGCGGGAUGACGGCCUUCGGGUUGUAAACCGCUUUCGCCUGUGACGAAGCGUGAGUGACGGUAAUGGGUAAAGAAGCACCGGCUAACUACGUG